AGAGUUUGAUCCUGGCUCAGGACGAACGCUGGCGGCGUGCCUAAUACAUGCAAGUCGAACGCUUUUUCUUUCACCGGAGCUUGCUCCACCGAAAGAAAAGGAGUGGCGAACGGGUGAGUAACACGUGGGUAACCUGCCCAUCAGAAGGGGAUAACACUUGGAAACAGGUGCUAAUACCGUAUAACAAUAGAAACCGCAUGGUUUCGGUUUGAAAGGCGCUUUUGCGUCACUGAUGGAUGGACCCGCGGUGCAUUAGCUAGUUGGUGAGGUAACGGCUCACCAAGGCAACGAUGCAUAGCCGACCUGAGAGGGUGAUCGGCCACAUUGGGACUGAGACACGGCCCAAACUCCUACGGGAGGCAGCAGUAGGGAAUCUUCGGCAAUGGACGAAAGUCUGACCGAGCAACGCCGCGUGAGUGAAGAAGGUUUUCGGAUCGUAAAACUCUGUUGUUAGAGAAGAACAAGGAUGAGAGUAAAAUGUUCAUCCCUUGACGGUAUCUAACCAGAAAGCCACGGCUAACUACGUGCCAGCAGCCGCGGUAAU
rnacentral:rRNA from 1 species